UGAAGGGCAGGAAAAGAGGGGCAAAAACCCUAACUUGUGCAAUCUUCACAGAAUCGACCAAAUUAAGAAGAAAUCGUGAUUGCAUGUCUUGUGAAUAAGAAUCAGUAGCAUCAUCUUGUCAAAAGGCAACUAGAGUGGAACUUCGGAAGGACAAACUGGGGCGGACACGCGCCAAAAAGGAAAGCUCUAAGGUGUGUUUAAACUUAGGAUGAGUGAAGAUCAAGCUCCAAAGUGAACCGAACACAAAGAAAUUCAAGCUUCCGCAAUGGUCUAAGAUGUUUUUGUUAAACUAAAACUAUCAUAUGUUAU